GAUGAAGAACGUAGUGAAAUGCGAUACUUGGUGUGAAUUGCAGAAUCCCGUGAACCAUCGAGUCUUUGAACGCAAGUUGCGCCUCAAGCCAUUAGGUUGAGGGCACGUCUGCCUGGGCGUCACAUAUCGUUGCCUGAUGCCAGUUUCCUCGUGAUGGGUGACUGUGCAGGGCGAAUGAUGGCUUCCCGUGAGCAUUGUUGCCUCAUGGUUGGUUGAAAAUUGAGUCCUUGGUAGGGAGCGCCGUGAUAGAUGGUGGUUGAGUGACGAACGAGACCCAAUCAUGUGAGACCCCUACCGAAUUUGGCCUUCAUGACCCACAUGCGUCUUUGGAACGCUCAUGACGAGACCUCAGGUCAGGCGGGGCUACCCGCUGAGUUUAAGCAUAUCAAUAAGCAGGA
rnacentral:misc_RNA from 1 species